AGUGAACGCUGGCGGUAGGCCUAACACAUGCAAGUCGAACGGCAGCACAGUAAGAGCUUGCUCUUACGGGUGGCGAGUGGCGGACGGGUGAGGAAUACAUCGGAAUCUACUUUUUCGUGGGGGAUAACGUAGGGAAACUUACGCUAAUACCGCAUACGCCCUACGGGUGAAAGCAGGGGAUCUUCGGACCUUGCGCGAUUGAAUGAGCCGAUGUCGGAUUAGCUAGUUGGGGGGGUAAAGGCCCACCAAGGCGACGAUCAGUAGCUGGUCUGAGAGGAUGAUCAGCGACACUGGAACUGAGACACGGUCCAGACUCCUACGGGAGGCAGCAGUGGGGAAUAGUAGACAACGGGCGGAAGCCUGAUGCAGCCAUACCGCGUGGGUGAAGAAGGCCUUCGGGUUGUAAAGCCCUUUUGUUGGGAAAGAAAAGCAGCAGGUUAAUACCCCGCUGUUCUGACGGUACCCAAAGAAUAAGCACCGGCUAACUACGUG
rnacentral:rRNA from 1 species